rnacentral:misc_RNA from 1 species
UUGGGAUACCCUUUAUAGGGUCUAAUAAAGAAACCCCAUGAUAACUAUUCAUGUUUUGGCUUUGUUGGAGAAAAGGAUUUCUUGAAAAACUCUUAUUUUCUUCAUUAUUGGUAGUAGUUGGAUGAGCUAAACAAAGCUCAGUCAAACUAUUAUUAUGUGUUGUACGUGUUGAUGAUGAUGAUGAAUUUGGAGGGCUAAUAUGAAGAGAAAGAUCCGGG